GAGGUACUCUCAGGUUGCCGCUGGAUCUGACUCUUAAUCAGUAGGUUCGGGGUUCGAUUCCCCGGCGGUUCACCA
rnacentral:tRNA from 1 species